CUUAACAGAACCGACCGACUCGUAGAACGGCGUCACAGGAACUCGCUCGUGUCGGCGAGCCAGUGGAUUGGCGGAGGGAAUAUCUCGGUCGCACGUGACGCAGAGGGCUGCAGCAUCGGCCUUGCAGGUGACAUGAGCCGGAGCUUGCUCGCACACCUCACAAACCCACACGCGCGCGUGGCGCGAGGCAAGCUUGUUGGCAGCGUGAACCUUUGAGUCACAGUUUACGCAAAGAAAAGCGGAGUCAGCACGGCAGAAAAGAGUUGCCGUUGCCGAUUUACAUGAAUCACAGAGCUUGGAAGCCAUUCCACGACUCACAGUUAGCCAAGUUCUCUCUCUCUCUGUGGGGAUGAAACAAUAAACACAGGCACAGUUUUCUUUUGUGUAUUGUUUGGACUUUGGCUAAUUGUUGUGUAGCGUUUACUGUGGCGUAAGGAGUGACUAUGAUUCUAUCUGGU
rnacentral:misc_RNA from 1 species